CUCUGGUUGGCACACAAACUAACAAAGAUGUUAUGUUUGUAUCUAUUUUUCAAUGAUUUUUCAUUGUUUAUCGUCGUAUUUUGGAUUCAUUUGGAUUUCGUUUCCUGUUUUUGUGAACUUUAUAAACUUUACCACAAUGCAAACUGAUUAUUUAAGGAAAUUAUUAUUGGAAACUCCAGAUGUUGCGAGAAUGAUAUUUAUUGAAGCUGAAAAAAAUUGGGGAUUGAGAUCCAUACGCAAUUCAGUCAGAAUUGGAUUUUACAGUAAAGUGCAGUCCAUCAAGUUACUAUUAUAGAUAUUUAUACAUAUCUGGUGGAGUCUGACAGUUGCUACUCUAAGCAGCAGGUGAAAGCAUACAAAAGCCUUCAGGCACAUAAAUAUUUUACAGCUGGAUUUGUUUUGAAUGGAGUAAAAAUUGUUAAUGGAUUUCCUGAUUUCCAUAUUAUUGUCGGAAAGGUGAAGCAUUUCCAAAAAUCUAAUGCUAAACGACUAAAUGCUUGGGUGGGGUGAUAGCCAGUUCUGAUGACAUAGCAAAUUCACAUUGUAUGCGUAUGGCCGGUAAUAGUGAAGUCUGCAGCCAUAUUGCAGCAAUCCUAUUUUUAGCUUAGUAUGCUCAGGGCAAGACAGACGAAGAAGAACCCAAUGUAUGUACAUAUGUUACAGCUACAUGGUUUGGAGAUAGCAACAUAUGCAUUCUCUGAUGAAAAACUAAUGAGUUUUGAAACUGUUCGGUCAGAGUGCUUGUUGCGCUCACUAAACGAAUUGAAAUAUAAGAUGGCUUUGGCAUUGUGUUGCAGUGAUAUGAAAAUGGUUAUUCAUUUUUAAUUAUAAUGUACUUCUUCAUCAUGAGUAAUUAUGUAUUGGUCUUUUAAAUGUGUAUUUAUUUUUGUAAUUAGUAUCAACUUGUAAUGAUAAUAUACAUUUAUCGUUUAAGGUAUGACUAUGUUUUGACUCUAAAAUAAAUGUUUUAAAAAUCGAA